rnacentral:lncRNA from 1 species
AUCUAGUUGUUUAUUCUUUAGCUCACUUUUUCUAAUAUAAUGUUAAAAUUCCACUAGAUGAAAAAAAUUUGUGUUAGCGAUCAGUACUAGUGCUCAUCAGGACGGCAAGCAGCAGUACUGAUCAGUAUGGCUUACACAAAUACUAGUACUGGUUAGUACUUUCUUAAUGAUAAAGAUGAGCAGUAAAAGAUACAAGUUGCAAUUCCAGGGUAACCUGUCUCAGAUCCUUUUCAGGUUCAGGUAACAAAUGUUUGGUAUUCUUAUAUACUUGCAUCAGUUCAGACUCGCGGAUACAAUAAGUUGAGGGAAAACUCAUACAAAAGUUCAAAGUUGACAAACAUGGGUUCUUUGUUUCAAUGUUCGCUAGUGUAUGCAAAUUGGGUUUGCAUGCAUUCAUAGUUGGAUGGCUAUUGAUCUCUAUAAAACCUUGGAAGCAGUGAUUGCAUUACUAGUCCAACCAUACUAGGUAAAACUGAAUGUACCUAGCCAGUUCAAUAACAUCAUCUCCUUGUGCAAAAAAGUAGUCAAAAAGGUCGAACUGACAUAUGCUUCAGAAUGUCACACAAAAAAAUAUUUAUCUGUAUUUGUCUUUUUCAUGAGGGGAGCCUUGGCGCAGUGGUAAAGCUGCUGCCUUGUGACCAUGAGGUCAUGGGUUCAAGUCCUGGAAACAGCCUCUUACAGAAAUGUAGGGAAAGGCUGCGUACUAUAGACCCAAAGUGGUCGGACCCUUCCCUGGACCCUGCGCAAGCGGGAGCUACAUGCACCAGGCUGUCUUUUUCAUGUUGAAUUAUUUGAAGUAAAACAAAAAUAGCUCACCUUUGUGACUUUCAUCAUUUGAAAACCUACAUGCCUCAUGUUCGAACUUUCAAUUUGUUUAAAACUAAACUGAUGGUGCUCUUGUUUCAGUGUCGGGGGAGAAGGCAGAACCUCUGGGUGCAUGAUGGAAAAAAUUGCAAGUUCUUGUUUAGAUGUUCAGGAUACCCUUCUCUCAUUUCAUUUAUGUUCAGGAUAGCAGGUGCAUGAUGGAAAAUUGUGUAUCAUGUAGUUCUUGUUUAGAUGUCGUGCAAGUUAAAAAAUUGUUGAUUUUGCCACUGGAGAGAACCCGUUGGUGCAUUGUUUUUCCACUAUGACGUCCCUUGGUAUGUUCCAUGUGUAUUUAACAGCAGGUCCAUGUAUAUUUAACAACAAGUCCAUGUAUUACUACAUGAGAAGUACUGCUAGUGAGACUUCACUGCUCCAUUCCAACAAACGUGUAUACACAAUCCUGGUUUGACAAAG